AAAAUAAGUAGGAAAUAAAAUACGAACCAAUUACUCAUAAACAACAUAAUAAACUCCCGCGCUACAUCUAUUUAUAAAGUAAUGAUCAAUUUUUUUAUUAAUGGGGCUAAAUACAAAAACAAAAUACAAAACAAGGAUAUUUAUACUAUACAGAUAGAUAUACCACUAAAUUGAUGACAUCCGAAGCCACCUCAAACGAGAACACAACCGAUUUUAGGCAUAAGAAGUAGAAAAAAAAAACUAAAAAGUAAAAUGAAAACACUUGGAUAAAUAAAUAAGUGUAUUCACCUGAAUAAUUUGGCCUACGAGAGUUGAAGGCUUUUGAAAUGUAAGGUUCUAACAGCUAAUAUUUGACCUAAAUCAAAGUUAAACAAAUAACAAUAAACAUUUCAUAUACUAAAUUAAUACAAAAACAACAGUAAAAACAAAAAAAUAAACAAAAAACAAAGAAAAAUCAAAAUAUAAAUUUCAAAAUAUAAAAAAACAAUUAUAAAAUUCCCGCGCGCAGCGCGGGUCAACAACUACUACAGUAUAUAAUAGACUUGUUGUACAUGAACCAUAUUACCCAAAGAAUAAUAGAUCAUGUACAUCAAUGAUGACGCAUAAUUAUAAUUAUAGUUUUAAUCUUUCUAAUAAUUAUUAAUAACAUUUAGAUCUAAAGUCUAAACGUAUGUAUUAGUAUUAGAGACGAAUUGCCAAAAAGGCAUUUUGAAUAGAGAGUACUACUUUAAUGACCGUAAAAGAUUGGUUAGGCGGAAGAAUGCGUGUCGUUUUGUCGAUCCGCAUCACUCAAGUCGCACGCGGUUUAUGAGAUUUCUUCAGAUACACUUUCACUACAAAUGCGUCUCAUCUUAGCCAUCAUAGGUACUUUGGCCUAAUUUCUUCUCAUUUGGCUUUGCAUACAUAUUCAGAAUUAAUAAUUGUUUGGUUAAUAAUUUUGUAAGGGGAGACCUGUUAAUUAACAUUUGAGGAAGGUA
rnacentral:lncRNA from 1 species